GAGAAUUUAAAUAGCCGCAGUACCCUGACUGUGCAAAGGUAGCAUAAUCAGUUGACUUAUAAUUGAAGUCUAGUAUGAAUGGGAACACGGGAAUAUUCUGUCUUUAAUAUAUAAAAGAAAUUACUAAUUAAGUGAAAAUUCUUAAAAAUAAGAAAAUAGACGAGAAGACCCUAGAAAUUUUUUAAUUUGAUUUUGUUGGGGCGACAGGGUAACAAAGAACUUACCUAAAGUAAUAGGAAAUUUUUUAGUGGUGUAAUUAAAUUACUCUAGGGAUAACAGCAUAAUAUUUUAAAGGUUGUGACCUCGAUGUUGGACUAGGAAAUACACUACUUAAAAGGUAGUGUUUAUGGUUCUGUUCGAACUUUUACUCCUACAU
rnacentral:rRNA from 1 species